CCCCUCUGAGGAUUGCAUCUGGAGAGUUUCCAGUCCUCUAUCAGUCUCAGCUACGGGAGGGAGAGUCAAGCAGAGGCCUGUCCGUUCCAUUCCUAGCUUGGCCAGUGGCUAGAGAGUGGAAGGCCACCGGCUACAAGU